GUAGCUCAGUGGUAGAGCGCUUGCCUUGUAUGCAUAAGGCCCUGGGUUCGAUUCCUCAGC
rnacentral:tRNA from 1 species